GGUUAUGGCUCAGUGAUAGAGCACUUGACUAAUGCGUAAGAGACCCUGGGUUCAAUCCUCAGCACCA
rnacentral:tRNA from 1 species